UCAGUCGUGAGUGUUUUCAGACAUUUUAAGCAUCACUAUCGUGAGCUUUUCAGUGAACUGAUGAAGAAAAUGUUUCUCAAAUUAGUUUUGUUCUGUUUGUGUUUGUGGGGUCUGGUUGGCAGGGGUGCAUUAACACCCAAGGAUCAACUGGCUGAAGGCCAAAGGGCAACAAUGAUGAACCUGAUUAAUGGUAUGAUUGAUAAGAUCUGGUCAGUUAUGGAGGGAGAUUCAUUCACUCUAGGAUCCCGUCUUCUUAAAAUGAAGAAUAAUGGUGUGAUUCAGUGGAGGUUUUUUAACACUUUAUUAGCUAUAAUCAAUAAACAGACCGACAGCAUGAUUGUAUUUGAUGAUGCUCCUGACGGGAGAUUCAGAGACCGACUGAACCUGAACAAUCAAACUGGAUCUUUGACCAUCACAAACAUCACAGCUGAACAUACUGGAAUUUAUUAUCUACACAUCAAUGGACCAAUAAGGAAAACUUUAUAUCUCAACGUCCGUACGAAGCCCUUGUCAGUGAUGGAGGGAGAUUCAGUGACUCUAAACUCUGGUCUCACUAAAAUAACAGAUGAUGAUCAGAUUGAAUGGAUUUUUCUAUUAAUUAAUUUAGUUGAGUUCAAUAAA